rnacentral:rRNA from 1 species
GACGAACGCUGGCGGCGUGCCUAAUACAUGCAAGUUGAGCGCUGAAUGUUGGUACUUGUACCUACUGGAUGAGCAGCGAACGGGUGAGUAACGCGUGGGGAAUCUGCCUUUGAGCGGGGGACAACAUUUGGAAACGAAUGCUAAUACCGCAUAAAAACUUUAAACACAAGUUUAAAGUUUGAAAUAUGCAAUUGCAUAACCCAACGAUGAACCCGCGUUGUAUUAGGUAGUUGGUGAGGUAAAGGCACACCAGUGCGAUGGUACUUAGCCGACCAGAGAGUGUCGGCGACCGCACUGGGACUGGCGCACGGCCCAAACGCCUCCGGGAGACAGCAGUAGGGCAUCUUCGUCGAUGGACUCAAGUCUGACCGAGCAACGCCGCGUGAGUGAAGAAGGUUUUCGGCUCGUAAGACUCUGUUGGUAGGGAAGAACGUUGGUGAGAGUGGAAAGCACAUCAAGUGAUGGUAACUACUCAGAAAGGCACGGCUAACUACGUG